rfam:Triticum aestivum genome assembly, contig: Triticum_aestivum_CS42_TGACv1_scaffold_577316_7BL
GUUAUACUCCCUCCGUUUGAAAAAGUCUGUCCCUCAAAUGCAUGUAUCUAACACCAAGUUAAAGCUAGAUACAUUCAUUUGAGGGACAAACUUGGGACAAGCUUUUUCGGACGGAUGGAGUAUUUA